AGUUAGGAAAUGUAAGUGCGCUAAUAUCGCAUUUAUUUGACGAAGGCUCCAAAGGAAGUCACGGCUAACUCUGUGCCAGCAGCCGCGGUAAUACAGAGGUGGCAAGCGUUGUUCGGAAUUAUUGGGCGUAAAGAGCACGUAGGUGGGUUUGUAAGUCAGAUGUGAAAGCCUUCUGUUCAACGGAAGAAUUGCAUCUGAAACUGCGAGUCUUGAGUGUAGGAGGGGAGAGUGGAACUUCUGGU
rnacentral:rRNA from 1 species